rfam:Egretta garzetta contig27625, whole genome shotgun sequence.
UAAAUGGUUGUUUUUGCAACCACAAGAGUGAGGAAAAAAAAGUAUAU